GCGACACCUGGCGCUGUUUAUCGCGCUCGCAGGCGCGAUAGGGUCGGCCUUACUGAUGGCUGCCCUUUACCAGCCUGACGUCGAUCCCUCGCGGGUCUACUACGGGACCGAUACCAGGGUCGCCGGGCUGCUCUUCGGGGCCGCGCUCGCCUUCGUGUGGGUGCCCGGGCAGACCCGGC
rnacentral:misc_RNA from 1 species